AGAGUUUGAUCCUGGCUCAGAUUGAACGCUGGCGGCAUGCCUAACACAUGCAAGUCGAACGGUAGCAGGCCUUCGGGUGCUGACGAGUGGCGGACGGGUGAGUAAUGCGUAGGAAUCUGUCUUUUAGUGGGGGACAACCCAGGGAAACUUGGGCUAAUACCGCAUGAGCCCUGAGGGGGAAAGCGGGGGAUCUUCGGACCUCGCGCUAAGAGAAGAGCCUACGUCUGAUUAGCUAGUUGGUAGGGUAAAGGCCUACCAAGGCGACGAUCAGUAGCUGGUCUGAGAGGACGACCAGCCACACUGGGACUGAGACACGGCCCAGACUCCUACGGGAGGCGAC
rnacentral:rRNA from 1 species